rnacentral:ncRNA from 1 species
GUCCUACAUCGAGAGUUGGAGUGACGCUCCAACGCCAACCUGCCGAUCCGGGCAAGGUGGUACCCGAUCUGCCCCAAGCAGAAAGGGGAUGUGGCCGAUCCGGCAACCAAACGGACACGG